rnacentral:rRNA from 1 species
UACGUAGGUGGCAAGCGUUGUCCGGAUUUACUGGGCGUAAAGGGCUCGUAGGCGGCCAACUAAGUCAGACGUGAAAUCCCCAGGCUCAACCUGGGAACUGCGUCUGAUACUGGAUGGCUUGAAUCCGGGAGAGGGAUGCAGAAUUCCAGGUGUAGCGGUGAAAUGCGUAGAUAUCUGGAGGAAUACCGGUGGCGAAGGCGGCAUCCUGGACCAUAACUGACGCUGAGGCGCGAAAGCUAGGGGAGCAAACGGG